GUCUAUGGCCAUGCCACCCUGAACAAGCCCGAUCCCGUCUGAUCUCGGAAGCUAAGCAGGGCCAGACCUAGUUAGUACUUGGACGGGAGACCACCUAGGAAGACCAGGUGCUGUAGGCG
rnacentral:rRNA from 1 species